rnacentral:lncRNA from 1 species
GUGGCUUUGAUAUUAUUUUGUAGAAAAUAGGUGUAAAGAGACAAUCUGGUGAAAAUGCUCUUAAAACUGCCAAAUAUGGAAAGUGCCAAAUAAGGAAAGUUUUCAAAUAAGGAAAGUGCAGAAGCAAAAACAGAUAAGGAAAGCGCAGUCAGCAGAUUACUUGAAAUUCAAAUUGCAGAUCUUUCUUUCUUUGUUUAAAGAUGUGCAGACACCUCAGCAGUCAGUUCUUCCUAUUCAUGAAGCAAGAUCUCAAGAAGAUGCACUUGCCUCUCAUGCAUUCAGUAUUCAAAAUUUGAAAUUCAAAAGAAGGCUCCACCUAAAAAAGAAAGUUUGGACAUCACCUCUUCCCUUCUGCACACCCUGGCCGUGCGCCUUCUUCCUUCUAAAAGCCUGGCCGCGCGCAUCCUUCCUUCUGAAAGCCUUGCCGCAUGCCUCCUUCCUUUUCAGACACAACUUGGGCAGCAAGCAGCCUCUUGGGCAGCAAGUAAGACCUUGGGCAGCAUCUAAUCCUAUAUAAACUCUCCUAAACCAGCCGGUUGAAUCUCUUCUUGCACUUCUUCUCUUCGGACCACACAAGGCCGGCGCUUCCCAAGCCUCCAAGCACUUCUUCUCUUUAUCUUCUUCUUCCUUUCUUUAUUUUUGGUUUUUGUUUCAGCCAUGAGUGGCUGAAACCUUUUAUUCUAGUUGAAGAUUGGUUGAAACUUAAGUUGUUUUAUGGAUUGUGAGAUCUGAACAUACAUUGUUUGUCUUUGGUUUAUUCAAUAUUCAUACAAUUUCAUGCUUGAUUCCAUUAUUGCUUUGUUAUUUUGAUUAAUGUGGCCACUUGAUUCUUGAUUGCAAGGUAUAAUAUUGUUAGUUUGAAUAGUUUUAUGUCCGUAAUUACUUGGAUUGUUCAAACAUAAGAACACUUGAUGUAAAAACUAAGAAAAUUGUAUAAUCUAGCAACAUCUCAUGCUUUUGGGUAGCUAGGAUUGGAUCUCUCUAUCACUUAAUGCAAUUGACAGUUGUUUUGAUGCCUAAAGCCUAAGGACGUUCCUUGGCAACUUGUUGAUUAGUAAUUAAUUAGAGGACGUUCCCUAAUUGGUUUAUGAUUAAGGAGAGACAUGGUGGUGAGAAACGUUUUCCAUCUCCAUAACUAAUCUAUUGAAUCAAUCAAAAUAACAUAAGUUUCAAUGAUCAAUCCCGAUAACUGAAGUGGAUCCAAUUCUUCAACUAAAGUUUUCUUAUUAUUGAUUUCCCUUUAUUUUUAUUAUUCCCUUGUUUUAUUACUUUCAUCAUUAGAUUAACUGAAUCAAUCUCAAACCCCCCCCCUUUUUUACUUUACUUGCACUUUAUUUUUAUUUUGCUUUCUGUUUAUCUUGCUUUCAGUCUAUUUGCUUUCAGUUAAUUUUCUUGGUCUUCAUAAGAAGAAUAGGUAAGUUUUCAUUUCCCUGUGGAUUCGAUCAUUUACCACUAUCUGCAAUAGUAAUAUUGUUGAUAACUGAAAAGGAUAUUUUUUACUGGUUUCGACAACCGACAGUCAAAAAUUGGCGCCAAUGCUGGGGAGUUAAUUUAACUGAUUUAUUUUUCUUUCAUGACUAGAUCUGGAUACAAGGAGACGCUGCCUUACGAUCCAGAAAUUGAGCGCACCAUCAGGAGACUAGGUAAACAAGCAUCGCGGCUUUGGGAGACAGCUGAAGCCGAAAUCGCACCUGAAGGAGUCCCCUGCGCAGAACAACCUUCUGAAACCACUGAAUCGCACUAUCCAACUCCAGAGAUGGCUGAAAACGUGGCACAACCUGCUGCCCAUGCUGGACAUGUUGUCCAUGAUGGAAUAAUAUAAGAAAAUCCAGCCAUGAGGGCCCCAAUGCCAAGAGAAAGAACCAUGAGAGAGUUGGUAGCACCUAUAGGUGAUCAAGCACCUCUUUGCAUCACCUAUCCACCUCUGAUAGUUCCCUUUGAACUCAAAACAAGUUUGAUUCAUCUCCUUCCUAAAUUUAGAGGUUUAGAAAAUGAAAAUCCACACAAGCACUUGAAAGAGUUCAACAUUGUCUGUUCAUCUAUGAGACCUGAAGGUAUUUCUGAAGAUCAUGUUAAGUUGAGAGCUUUUCCUUUUUCACUUGAUGAUUAUGCUAAGGAUUGAUUAUUUUAUUUACCACCUAGAUCUAUCACUUCUUGGGAUGAUAUGGUAAUAACCUUUUUGAACAAAUACUUCCCAACUUCGAAAGCCAUUGGCAUAAGAAGAGAAAUCAGUAGCAUUAGACAGAAACCAUCCAAGGAUUUGUAUGGUUAUUGAGAAAGGUUUAAAAGAUUGUGUACAGGUUGUCCUCAACAUGAUAUUUCAGAUAAGGCACUCAUAGAAUUCUUCUAUGGAGGUUUGCUAUCAUCAGAAAGAAGAUUCAUUGAUGUAGCCUGUGGAGGUUCCAAUGCAGACAAAAUGCCUAGGGAGAUGAGAGAGUUGAUCUCCACCCUUGCAGCCUCAUCUAGGCAAUAUAGAGAAGAAAAGCAACUGCAGAGAGGAGUCAAUGAGGUAAGUACAUCCACUAUUUCUUCUCAGCUUUCUGAACUGACCUCUUUUAUGAAAAAUUUUGCCAUAGGACAAGCUCAACAGGCUCAAGCAUCCCAGCCACCUAGGCCAUGUGAGAUUUGUGCAUAUGUAGGACACCCAACUGAUCAAUGUCCUACUCUUCAAGAAGAUAGCCAGCAAGUGAAUGCCAUUGGAGGAUACAACAGUCAGGUAAGACAUGAUCCAUAUUCUAACACCUACAAUCCAGGUUGGAGAGACCACCCCAAUUUCAGCUCUAGAAGGGCUAACAACAACCAGAACUAUUAGAACUAUCAAAGAAAUCAAGCCCAACCAGCACCUCCAAAUUCCAUUCAGCACCUUGAAAAGAUAAUGGAGACACUGGCAAACUCUGUACAGACUCUCCAACAACAGAUGGGACAGAUGGUCACAUCCAUGAGCAAGAUUGAAUCCCAAGGUAAGCUCCCUUCUCAAACUGAAACUAAUCCCAGACAGAAUGUAAGUGCCAUCACUUUAAGAAGUGGAAAGGAACUCUAAGAGGCCAAGACUGAUGAAGGAGAGUCAUCUACGUAAGAACCGGGUGUUUCAGCUGAACAACCUGCGCACCACCUCUCCAAGCCAAAUGGACGACCCCCAUCUGAAACCUCUCCAACGCACAAGGCUGAUCAAUAGGUAAGUUUCCAAAUUCCACCUCCUUUUCCAAAAAGAUUUGAAAAGACACCAAAAAGAAAAAGAAGAAAAGGAGAUCCUUGAGACCUUCAGGAAAGUGAAAAUCAACAUACCUAUGCUAGAUGCUGUGAAACAGAUUCCCAGAUACGCAAAAUUUCUGAAAAAACUAUGUACCAACAGAAGAAAGCUUGCUGAGAGAGAAAAAGUAAGUGUAGGUGAGAUUGUUACUACUGUGAUAAAAAGAGAACUUCCAACUAAAUGCAAAGAUAAAGGAAUAUUUGCUAUUUCUUACAAAAUUGAAAAUGUUGGGAUAAAGAAAGCCAUGUGUGAUCUAGGUGCAUCCAUUAACGUUAUGCUUCUUGCUAUUUACAAUUCUUUGAAUGCAGGUGCACUGAAAGACACCAAAGUUGUGAUUCAAUUGGCUGAUAGAUCUGUGGUAUAUUCAAAAGGAGUUUUAGAAGAUGUUCUAGUACAAGUAGAUGAACUUGUCUUUCCAGCAGACUUUUAUGUGAUUGAUACAAAGGAAGACAAUUGUAACACUUAUUCAGACAUCCUACUUGGACAUCCCUUCUUGAGCAUAGCCAGAACCAAGAUAGAUGUGCAUGAUGGUACUCUCACCAUAGAAUUUGAAGGGGAAGUGAUUAAAUUUAAUGUUUAUGAUGCCAUGAAAUAUCCCCAUGAUGUGUCUCCUGCUUACGGUCUUGAUAUCAUUGAUUGUUUGAGCCAGAAAAUUUUUGAUAUGAAUCAAGAUGAUGCACUAAACCAUGACCUUUGCAGGAAUGAGAAUCAGAAAGAACCAGAACUGAAAGAAACAGUCUGCAGCAUCCAACAGUUGAAUUGCAUCCAAACGCAAGAAGAACAGGAACUGAAAGCCACUCUUCAGCUUGGAUCGCAGAUCCAGUCGCAUGAAGCUGAGGCACCGAGUGUGCCACUUCAACUGGGAGCGCAAAGCCAAUCGCAGGAAGUCCAUGAACCAGCCGCGCCUCCUCAGCUCAAUCCGCAGACAGUCCAAGCGCAGCAAGAAUCUCCCUUGCAGCACCUUUCCGAAUCUGAAGAAAUUGAGAAUGGCCUUUAUGAAUAGAUCUUUCAUGCCCAAACUGAUGAGCCAUGGUAUGCUGACAUGGUGAACUACUUAGUCACAGGUAACUUACCCUCUGACAUGCCCAAACACAUAAGAGACAAAAUAAAGAAAGAUGCAAAAUACUAUGUUUGGGACGAACCAUAUUUGUGGAAACAUUGUUCUGAUCAAAUAAUAAGAAGAUGCAUUCCAGAUCAAGAGAUAGCCUCAGUACUUACAUUCUGCCAUUCAUACAGUUGUGGUGGACACUUUGGUCCAAGAAAGACAGCUCAUAAAAUACUUGAAAGUGGCCUGUUUUGGUCCACUAUUUUUCGAGAUGUCUUUUUGUUUUGCAGAUCAUGUGCUAGGUGCCAACAGACUGGAAAUCUGAGCAACAGAAAUCAAAUGCCACAGAAUCCCAUCAUGGUCUGUGAGGUAUUUGAUGUGUGGGGCAUAGACUUCAUCCCCACCAUCCCUUGGAUACACUACAGCAUCCUUGCAGUAGAUUAUGUGUCCAAAUGGGUGGAAGCUAGAGCAACCAAGACUGAUGAUGCAAAAGCAGUAAUAGACUUUGUGAAGACCAACAUCUUUGCCAGAUAUGGAGUACCCAAGGCAAUCAUCGGCGAUAGAGGGACUCAUUUUUGCAAUAAGGUAGUGGAGAGCCUUUUCAUAAAGCACAAUGUAAUUCAUAGAACAUCCACAGCCUACCACCCUCAAACAAAUGGGCAAGCUGAAGUGUCCAACAGAGAAAUCAAGGCCAUACUAGAAAAGACAGUGUCUCCCAACCGAAAGGACUGAAGUGCACGUUUGGAAGAUGCCUUAUGGGCAUACAGAACAGCCUACAAGACUCCCAUAGGUAUGUCUCCUUACAGAUUGGUCUAUGGAAAAGCCUGUCAUCUUCCAGUUGAACUUGAACAUAAGGCAUAUUGGGCUGUAAAGAAUUGCAACAUGGACCUUAAGGAAGCUGGACACCAUCGCAAGUUGCAACUGCAAGAGCUAGAGGAGAUAAGACGAGAUGCAUAUGAGACUUCUUGGAACUACAAAGCCAAAAUCAAAGCCUCCCAUGACAGUCAGAUUUCAAGGAAACAAUUUGAGGUUGGUGAUAAAGUCUUACUCUUUGAUUCUCGUUUGAAAUUGUUUCUAGGAAAGCUACGAUCUAGGUGGAUUGGACCAUUCAUUGUGGAGCAUGCCUUUCCCCAUGGAGCUGCAGACAUUCGCAGUAUAGAGACAGGAAAAAUCUUCAAGGUAAAUGGCCAUCGCCUAAAACCUUUCUAUGAAGGAUUCGCAGUGCAAGUAGUGGAAGAAAUUCCACUACACCAUCUCACUCAUUCUGCUUAGUGGAUCGCACCAUGCACACCACCCCAGGGGAGUACUCAGUUUCUUUUGCAUUUUUAAUUCUUCCUAUACAUUGAGGACAAUGUAUGAAUUAGGUGUGGAAGUGCAUAUCUCUGAAUCAAUUUUUCUUUCAGUUGUUUUGCAAAUUUUUCCUUUGAGUCUUUCAAUUUUGCGAAUUUUUCCUUUCAGUCUUUCAGUCUUGCAUUUUCUUCUUUCAGUUUUGCAUGAGAAUAGCUAGCCACAGCUUGAAAUUUUUUUUUUUUUCAUUUUUUUCAUUUUUGCUUUCAAUAACACACACACUUAGCCACAGUUUUUCUUUUUUCCUUGGUUUGCUUUACUUGAACUCAUAGACUAUGUUGGAUGAGCUUUCUUUCCAUGACCCCAUUGAUGUGAUUACUCUUUAAACUUAAGUUGAAUCAAUUGCAGAGAGUUGUAUUCAUGUUUGGGGAAUUGCCUUUUGAAUUGAAUCUUUGAGCUUGCCAUGGUGAAAAAUAUAUUGAUGACACUCAUUAGAGAGAAUGAAUUGAAAGAUGUGUGAAUGAACUUAAUAUGACUUGUUUUAGCAAUUGGUAUUGAUUUGCCCAAUGCAUUGAUUAAAAGAAUUCGGCAAAAGCCUAGAGUACAAAUUGAAAACUAUUCCAAUGGUUGAAAGACUAUGAAUAGAGCUAGUAGCCACUUGGACAGGUGACCAACUGAGUAACUGGGGGUGGGUAUCACCAAUAUAUACCUUCACGUCAAAAGGUUGGUGACUUUUUCAAGCAAGAUUAAAGUGCAAAAAGCUGAAUAAGUACUUCAAAGUAAGGGCAAAUCACUAUGAAAGCUAGAAAGAGUCUUAAUUGAACAAAUAAUAUGUGCAUGUGUAAUCUCUCUCUUAAUGAAAAUAAAUCCUAGCCAUGGUAAGUAAAGGAAAACAAGGAAAAAAGGUGAGUAACCUUGAUGCAUAUAUUAUUCACUGCAAUGAUUCAAAAUAGGGGUUGAGAGUAAGAGCUUAAGUGGAAAUAAGGAUCAAGUAGCAAAGAGAGCUUGUUUGACUAAGUUUAUUUGCUUGAGGAUAAGCAAAAGAAUAGGUGUGGGGGUAUUUGAUAGAGCAUAAUUUAGACCAAUUUAUCAUGACUUUAUUGAUGAUAAUUUACACCAUUUCUGCCUAAUUUUGUGGUUUUGAUCUUAUUUUGCAGAAAAUAGGUGUAAAGAGACAAUCUGGUGAAAAUGCUCUUAAAACUGCCAAAUAUGGAAAGUGCCAAAUAAGGAACGUUUUCAAAUAAGAAAAGUGCAAAAACAAAAAUAGAUAAGGAAAGCGCAGUCAGCAGAUUACUUGAAAUUCAAAUUGUAGAUCUUUCUUUCCUUGUUUAAAGAUGUGCAGACACUUCAGCAGUCAGUUCUUCCUAUUCAUGAAGCAAGAUCUCAAGAAGAUGCACUUGCCUCUCAUGCAUUCAGUAUUCAAAAUUUGAAAUUCAAAAGAAGGCUCCACCUAAAAAGGAAAGUUUGGACAGCACCUCUUCCCUUCUGCACACCCUGGCCGCGCGCCUCCUUCCUUCUAAAAGCUUGGCCGCGCGCAUCCUUCCUUCUGAAAGCCUUGCCGCACGCCUCCUUCCUUUUCAGACACAACUUGGGCAGCAAGCAACCUCUUGGGCAGCAAGUAAGACCUAGGGCAGCAUCUGAUUCUAUAUAAACUCUCCUAAACCAGCCGGCCGAAUCUCUUCUUGCACUUCUUCUCUUCGGACCACACAAGGCCGGCGCUCCCCAAGCCUCCAAGCAUUUCUUCUCUUCAUCUUCUUCUUCC